ACAGCAGUCGCCGCGGGAAUACGAAGGGUGCAAGCGUUACUCGGAAUCACUGGGCGUAAAGGACGCGUAGGCGGAUUAUCAAGUCUCUUGUGAAAUCUAACGGCUUAACCGUUAAACUGCUUGGGAAACUGAUAAUCUAGAGUAAGGGAGAGGCAGAUGGAAUUCUUGGUGUAGGGGUAAAAUCCGUAGAUAUCAAGAAGAAUACCUAUUGCGAAGGCGAUCUGCUGGAACUUAACUGACGCUAAUGCGUGAAAGCGUGGGGAGCAAACAGGAUUAGAUACCCCGGUAGUCCCUGUCUCUUAUAC
rnacentral:rRNA from 1 species